UACGAAGGGGGCUAGCGUUGUUCGGAAUCACUGGGCGUAAAGGGCGCGUAGGCGGCCGAUUAAGUCGGGGGUGAAAGCCUGUGGCUCAACCACAGAAUUGCCUUCGAUACUGAUUGGCUUGAGACCGGAAGAGGUCAGUGGAACUGCGAGUGUAGAGGUGAAAUUCGUAGAUAUUCGGAAGAACACCAGUGGCGAAGGCGGCUCACUGGUCCGGUACUGACGCUGAGGUGCGAAAGCGUGGGGAGCAAACAGG
rnacentral:rRNA from 1 species